UAAAAUAUUUAUGUUAAAUUUUCCACUUUAGAUUUGUAAGCCACAGGUUUAAUUUUUAUUUCUCAAAUUUUGUUUACAGAUACUUAAAAUUAAUACCUGCCUGUAUCUGGUGAACAGAAAAGAAUAUAACUGAUUAACCGAAUUAUCUCUCUAAAAAUUGGUUCCAGGUACAACUUGAACUGCAGAUCCCAAUCCAAAUUUGGGUACAGAUUCUGCUUAAAACAGCGCUUGUCAACAAAUGCAUUUAAUUUCCCCCCUUUGGAUUUUUUUUCAGGUCAGAUAUUUUGAUCGAAAGUGAAAGCGUAUCUGACUUACUCUGCCCUGCUUUUAGCAUCAUGUAGAGUUCCAUGGAAAUAAAAGGCACAGGUGAUGAAAUUGUGAUCAACGUUGUGAAAUGGGAUCACAAUUAUUUCUUUAAUCAAAACAAACCUUAUGACAUAGGUGUGGAAAUCAUAUUGCUAUGCUUUCCACCUGCAGUCAUAUUUUGUAAUCAGCACUUUUGGCCAAACACAUGGUGUAAAUUAUAUGGAAAAAUGAGAAGGCCUGUUCUGUCUCAUGCCGUUGCCAGCAGUAACCACCAUGACGGUAAUCACUGCAAGAGAGUUUUCUGCAGUUUGGGAAGGAAUGGAGACCAUGGAGCAUCCCCCCAGGACCCUGGAUGAGGGCUCAGAGCUGCUUCACAAACUGGUCUCAGUGGACCAACCAGAACGUUCAGUUCUCUCCUCCACCAGACACUUAUCUGAACCCAGAAGAGGCUGA
rnacentral:lncRNA from 9 species